AAAAUCUCUACAAGUAAUAUGCAUCUCUUUGAUAAAAAAAGGUGUUCUAAAGAAAUAUGCAUCUCCAGAACAAAUCCUUGAAGAGUUCUUUGAUGUACGGCUUGAAUUCUAUGAGAAGAGAAAGGAUACUAUGCUGAAGAAUCUGGAACUUGAGCUGCAGAAACUAGAAAACAAAGUAAAGUUCAUUC